AACAGGAUUAGAUACCCUGGUAGUCCACGCCGUAAACUAUGGAUGCUAGCUGUUAGAGGUAUCGACCCCUCUAGUAGCGAAGCUAACGCGUUAAGCAUCCCGCCUGUGGAGUACGGUCGCAAGACUAAAACAUAAAGGAAUUGACGGGGACCCGCACAAGCGGUGGAGCGUGUUGUUUAAUUCGAUGGUAAGCGAAGAACCUUACCCAGGCUUGACAUCCUUGGAAUCUUUCCGAAAGGAGAGAGUGCUUUAUUGAGCCAAGUGACAGGUGAUGCAUGGCCGUCGUCAGCUCGUGUCGUGAGAUGUUUGGUUAAGUCCAUCAACGAGCGCAACCCUUGUGAUUAGUUGAAUUUUUCUAAUCAGACUGCCCUGGUAACAGGGAGGAAGGGGGGGAUGAUGUCAGGUCAGUAUUUCCCUUACGUCUGGGGCUACAAACACGCUACAAUGGCCGGUACAAAGGGCUGCCAAGUCGCGAGACGGAGCAAAUCCCAUCAAAGCCGGUCUCAGUUCGGAUAGCAGGCUGAAACUCGCCUGCUUGAAGCUGGAAUCGCUAGUAACGGUAGGUCAGCACACUACCGUGAAUACGUUCCCGGGUCUUGUACACACCGCCCGUCAAACCAUGAAAGUCGCCAAUACCUGACGUGUUGCCCUCGUGCAGCCCUAAGGUAGGGGAGAUGAUUGGGGUUAAGUCGUAACAAGGUAACC
rnacentral:rRNA from 1 species